rnacentral:rRNA from 1 species
GUGAGGAAUAUUGGUCAAUGGGCGAAAGCCUGAACCAGCCAUGUCGCGUGAAGGAUGAAGGUCCUAUGGAUUGUAAACUUCUUUUGCAGGAGGGUAAAGUGAGCUACGUGUAGUUCAUUGCAAGUACCCUGCGAAUAAGCAUCGGCUAACUCCGUGCCAGCAGCCGCGGUAAUACGGAGGAUGCGAGCGUUAUCCGGAUUUAUUGGGUUUAAAGGGUGCGUAGGCGGACUAAUUAGUCAGCGGUGAAAUUUUGCGGCUCAACCGUAAAACUGCCGUUGAAACUGUUAGUCUUGAGUGCGGUAGAGGUAGGCGGAAUGUGUGGUGUAGCGGUGAAAUGCUUAGAUAUCACACAGAACACCGAUUGCGUAGGCAGCUUACUGGAGCGCAACUGACGCUGAGGCACGAAAGCGUGGGGAUCGAACAGGAUUAGAAACCCGGGUAGUCC